CCUUGAAGUCUGGGCACAGAUACAAAGCUCUGAAGUCAGGGUGCCUCUUUGUUGUUGAGCAAGGGGUAAAGCAAAGCAGUUGCAGUGAAGUUAUGUGUGAUGAAAUCCAGGGAUGAAGUACACUGACACAGCUCCUACAUCUUCUCCAGUACAGUUCUCCUCAGUAGCAGUCCUAUUGACAGUGUAAACAACAACAAUAAAUGUAAGCCAGCCUCCUGUUGGAGGAGGGAGUUUUUUAAGGAGGUUGACCCUACUGAAAAGGGACUGAACUGCAAUGGCACGGUGUGAUUUGCCAUGCUAACCCGAGGGUAAUGCCAGCAAUGUCACAGGUAUUGCUGACAUCGAGGCUGCCUGUCUGUUGUUAUCUCCUGGCCUGCUCAGGUAUCAUUUUCUUUUUCAGGUAAGAGGAAAUUUGCAGAUUGUUUACGCUAAAGCCAUACUGCUAGUAAAGGAGCUUUGCCCCUCAUCUGGAUCUGUGACUGACAAUAGUUGAUAAGGGCUGAUUUUCAGUAGCUAGCUCACUGUUUUUUUAAGCAAACUUUACACUGAAAAAAAUGGCAUCUUAAAAAACCCACACAACCCUCUUCACAACUGCCAAGGGGUACAGAAAUGCCAGGGUCCCCAUUACUCACUCUAAAAUCAGGCUCAAGUUGCCUGGCUUUGGGUUUUCGAGGAAAGCCACAAUUUGAAGAAUUCACUGAACCCCACAGAAGAUUUGAAUUUUAAUUUUUCUGGAGUUGCCCUAAAAUAUUUCUUACUGUUUCUGAAAAUAUUCCUUACUCUGUUUUACCACAGGAAACAUCCUAAGGGGAUUUUUCCGCUUCUUCUUUUCCCCCUCCUUUCACUACACCAGGUUUGUCUCCCUGCUGUCUUAAAGAGACCACCUACAACUUAAGGAAAUAAAGACUUCUGUGAAAAAAUACAGGCAAACCCAAUCUUUAAGGGUCAGCUCCCCACAAUAUUUAUCUAGUUGUCUGAGCUGGUCCAACCACAAAAUGGGGAAGAAAAAAAUCACUAUCAUGUGGUGGCUGGGAGGGUAACCUCUGUUAAAAAACAACAACAAAAACAAAACACAGCAGCGUAAAAUUGAUGGGAAAAGUGCCAAGUAGAGAAAAGGAAAAGGACUGAUAUUUAUGAGGUAUAGUAAAUAAUAGCAAAAGGAGGUAGUGCUUGGUGAGGAUAAAGCAGCAGUUAUCUUCAAUUUUGGAGCAGAGAGGCAGGGCUUUGCCUAGUAUAAUUUAUUUAAGAGGUUUCCCUGUGUUUAUAGGGAAAAAAGUGGUACUGAAUAUGAAUUAAAAAAAAAAAAAAGGCAAAAAAAAAUACACUUUCUUCCCUGAAACCACCCAGAAGUUCCUUACAUCAUUCUGCACCCUGAAGAUCAUGUGCCUUAACUUCAGACCUGAAAAGCAGAGAAGGAAAGAAACACUUACAAUUUGGAGCAAAGGCCGCCUUUCCUCACCGAGGCACUAAGCAGGGAUGUAAAUUACAGGGUAUCUGUUUCAGGCCCCUUUCAGUAUACGGCUCCUAUAAGAGCCCCAGAGUAAAAUAAUCCUCUGGAGAUCAGAGGCAGCGUGCUAUUAGCAGGAGCUCAUAGGUUACAUUUAGUGGGGCCUGGGGUACCUUUAUGCUGAAGUGUUAGUGUCAGCUCGAAAACACCUAAUCUUUCUCUUGAGUCUAAUUAUACAUUCAUUGCACAUGCAACAGAAUAUUCAAAUGUGUUUAAUUAGUGUAAAGAUUGUGCUUUAAACCCACAAAAGCAAGGCAGGAAGGAAAAAGGAUGAAAAGUCAAAUAGCUUCUUUUAUCUAAUUGCAUCUCUGACUACCUGGGAGUCCCCAAGCACCAAUGUAAAAGAUACUGUAAAAAUAUUUGAAUAUAAACCCAUAGCUGAAUAUGCUAUAGCCACAGCAUACCCCUGUGUUUCUCUUAUGCUUAAUGACCAGCUGAAUUGUUGACUUACACCAGUUCAUAUAGAAAGGAAAAAGUGUCCAGUUUCUGUCCACUUGGCCUCUCAGUUGGAUCACCACAUUGGUGGUGUGGGCAAAAUGUUUUAUUGUUUUCAAAAGAAGUUUGUUACCUGCUUUAAAAAUACCUUAUUUACAUUUUAUCAUUAAAGUGUAUUAAGUAAAGUUCCCAAGGAUUUCCAUUAAAGUUUGGUCAAGAGUGCAAAUAGAGGGUUAUAUUGAAUUAUAAACUGUAAAGCUUCACCCUUGAAAACAAUGUCAUAAUUUUAUCUUUUCAUCUGAAGUACCUUGUUUUUUCUUGUUUUUCUGGUGUGGUAAGUUAACUGGAUUCUGCAGGUGCUUUCUGAAAUCUAAUGGUGACAUAAUUGUAACAUAAAGUUGCAGCAGGUUUUUACCAUGGAGCCUGUAGCUAAAGAAGAGAUCCAGCAAGAAGGAGAAUGAAGGCUUGUGCAUCUGCCGGUUCACUCACUACUUAGCCCUGGCAUAGGACCAUGAGACACAGCUCCUGAACUGCGAGCACUUGCUACAGGCACUGAGGGAAGCCUAGGUGGCCAUACCUCCCUGCUCUCCUCCCAGCUCUUCAAGUAAAUUCUAGCUCCUGCCAUUUGGAGGUGUAGCUGGGGAGCAGAGUUCAUGCUGGUGUGUCUUCUGAGGAAUAGGUUGGCCUGUUUGGAUUUUUUUUUUUUCUGAGGGUGCAAUGACCAGGCUGUGGAAAAGGUGUUGUACAGAGGGCUGGAGCCAUUGUGGCAUGGCUGGUAGCAAUAUUGAGGAGGAGGUGGUGAGGCUGCAGUUGUAACUGUGAGCACAAUCUCUGGCCAUAAAUUUGAUAUUUUCUCCUCCUAAAACCAUCUGCUUGCUACUGUUUAUAUUUCAUGCCAACUCUCACACACUCAGGCAAGUCUGGGAUGAGCAAGGAUGCUCUUACAAGGAGGAGCACUCAAACCACAGGGACACCUGUAGUCACAGCUCCUCCCUGAAGUCAUCUUUGCAGCUUGGGAGGAAGGUGACCUCCCUUUUCGGAGUACUUUAGCAUGAAUUAACAGAAAACUGCCUGUGGUUGUGGGCACAUUACUUUGAGUGUUUAUGCCACUUAUCUGUUACCUAAAG